rnacentral:rRNA from 1 species
GAUGAACGCUGGCGGCGUGCCUAAUACAUGCAAGUCGAGCGAACGGACGAGAAGCUUGCUUCUCUGAUGUUAGCGGCGGACGGGUGAGUAACACGUGGAUAACCUACCUAUAAGACUGGGAUAACUUCGGGAAACCGGAGCUAAUACCGGAUAAUAUUUUGAACCGCAUGGUUCAAAAGUGAAAGACGGUCUUGCUGUCACUUAUAGAUGGAUCCGCGCUGCAUUAGCUAGUUGGUAAGGUAACGGCUUACCAAGGCAACGAUGCAUAGCCGACCUGAGAGGGUGAUCGGCCACACUGGAACUGAGACACGGUCCAGACUCCUACGGGAGGCAGCAGUAGGGAAUCUGACGCAAUGGGCGAAAGCCUGACGGAGCAACGCCGCGUGAGUGAUGAAGGUCUUCGGAUCGUAAAACUCUGUUAUUAGGGAAGAACAUAUGUGUAAGUAGCUGUGCACAUCUUGACGGUACCUAAUCAGAAAGCCACGGCUAACUACGUG